UUGACUUUGAGAGAGUAAGUGUUAUUAUUACUUGUAUCAUUUUGUUUUACAGCUGUCAGAGUUAAGUGGAGUUCCUGCUGAGUAUAUCUGUUGUUCACAGGGAAGAUCAUUUCCAGUUGAGAUAUCAUGUCUUGAUAUUGAGAAUGAGUUGAGAUGGUAUUCCAUCACUUCAGACAGAUACUCAUUAUUAGGACUAUAUGAUGAUGGAAAUGUCCUAUAUUACAAAGACAAUAGAGAGACAAUGAAAGAGUUAACAGAUAAAGAGAGAUCAGAAAUACUAGAGGCAGAGGCAGCAAGGUUAAAGAGGAUUGUGGAAAUUGAAG